UGCCAGUCGGCUGCGUGCCCCCGCGCUUAGAUGAGUCUGGGAUUCUGGGCAGUUGGGACUUUCUUUUCAGGAAAGGAGGUGAGAGGUGCCGGGGAAGCCCACACGAGCAGCCACUCUUGGAGAAAUGGGGAAUGGCGCUGUAAAAGCGCAGGCCCUCCUCCUCCUCCUUUCUCCCCAUCACACAAAAAGGAUGGGCCUUGAAAGGGAUGAGUUUAUUAUGCACUUUUAAAUGCCUAUUCAGAAAAGAACAGGAGGCAAAAAUAAAGAUGCUUCCCACCCCACCAAUUCCCUUCCCUCGAAGAAAAAAGGAAAGAGAAAGCAACCCACAAAGAAUGGAAACCGAUCCUAGACAUCUGUGAAACGUAUCUUAAAAAUUCCACUACUGAGUUGGGAAAAGCAGAGAGUUCAUGUUUACUUCAUUGGCGAAGUCCAGUUGAAUCUACUUAACUCGACCAGCUUUAAUCCAAUCUAAUAAACCAUGA
rnacentral:lncRNA from 1 species